GAUGAACGCUGGCGGCGUGCCUAAUACAUGCAAGUCGAGCGAACGGACGAGAAGCUUGCUUUUCUGAUGUUAGCGGCGGACGGGUGAGUAACACGUGGAUAACCUACCUAUAAGACUGGGAUAACUUCGGGAAACCGGAGCUAAUACCGGAUAAUAUUUUGAACCGCAUGGUUCAAAAGUGAAAGACGGUCUUGCUGUCACUUAUAGAUGGAUCCGCGCUGCAUUAGCUAGUUGGUAAGGUAACGGCUUACCAAGGCAACGAUGCAUAGCCGACCUGAGAGGGUGAUCGGCCACACUGGAACUGAGACACGGUCCAGACUCCUACGGGAGGCAGCAGUAGGGAAUCUUCCGCAAUGGGCGAAAGCCUGACGGAGCAACGCCGCGUGAGUGAUGAAGGUCUUCGGAUCGUAAAACUCUGUUAUUAGGGAAGAACAUAUGUGUAAGUAACUGUGCACAUCUUGACGGUACCUAAUCAGAAAGCCACGGCUAACUACGUGCCAGCAGCCGCGGUAAUACGUAGGUGGCAAGCGUUAUCCGGAAUUAUUGGGCGUAAAGCGCGCGUAGGCGGUUUUUUAAGUCUGAUGUGAAAGCCCACGGCUCAACCGUGGAGGGUCAUUGGAAACUGGAAAACUUGAGUGCAGAAGAGGAAAGUGGAAUUCCAUGUGUAGCGGUGAAAUGCGCAGAGAUAUGGAGGAACACCAGUGGCGAAGGCGACUUUCUGGUCUGUAACUGACGCUGAUGUGCGAAAGCGUGGGGAUCAAACAGGAUUAGAUACCCUGGUAGUCCACGCCGUAAACGAUGAGUGCUAAGUGUUAGGGGGUUUCCGCCCCUUAGUGCUGCAGCUAACGCAUUAAGCACUCCGCCUGGGGAGUACGACCGCAAGGUUGAAACUCAAAGGAAUUGACGGGGACCCGCACAAGCGGCGGAGCAUGUGGUUUAAUUCGAAGCAACGCGAAGAACCUUACCAAAUCUUGACAUCCUUUGACAACUCUAGAGAUAGAGCCUUCCCCUUCGGGGGACAAAGUGACAGGUGGUGCAUGGUUGUCGUCAGCUCGUGUCGUGAGAUGUUGGGUUAAGUCCCGCAACGAGCGCAACCCUUAAGCUUAGUUGCCAUCAUUAAGUUGGGCACUCUAAGUUGACUGCCGGUGACAAACCGGAGGAAGGUGGGGAUGACGUCAAAUCAUCAUGCCCCUUAUGAUUUGGGCUACACACGUGCUACAAUGGACAAUACAAAGGGCAGCGAAACCGCGAGGUCAAGCAAAUCCCAUAAAGUUGUUCUCAGUUCGGAUUGUAGUCUGCAACUCGACUACAUGAAGCUGGAAUCGCUAGUAAUCGUAGAUCAGCAUGCUACGGUGAAUACGUUCCCGGGUCU
rnacentral:rRNA from 1 species